GAUGAACGCUGGCGGCGUGCCUAAUACAUGCAAGUCGAGCGAACAGACGAGGAUCUUGCUCCUCUGAAGUUACCGGCGGACGAGUGAGUAACACGUGGAUAACCUAUCUCUAAGACUGGGAUAACGUCGGGAAACCGGAGCUAAUACCGGAUAAUAUAUUGAACCGCAUGGUUCAAUAGUGAAAGACGGUUUUGCUGUCACUUAUAGAUGGAUCCGCGCCGCAUUAGCUAGUUGGUAAGGUAACGGCUUACCAAGGCAACGAUGCGUAGCCGACCUGAGAGGGGGAUCGGGCACACUGGAAGUGAGACACGGCCCAGACUCCUACAGGAGGCAGCAGUAGGGAAUCUUCCGCAAUGGGCGAAAGCCUGACGGAGCGACGCCGCGUGGGUGAAGAAGGUCUGCGGAUCGUAAAACUGUGUUAGUAGGGAAGAACGAUUGUGUAAAUAACGAUGCACGGCUUGACGGUACCUAGUCAGAAAGCCACGGCUAACUACGUG
rnacentral:rRNA from 1 species